UAGGGGACCACCUCCGCAGUGACUUAAGUUGUAUGCAAAGGCUUGGAAAAAGCAUCUGUUUGUACAGGAAGAUUUACAAGGCAAUCAGCAGUCAAGCAACUCCUUGAUAUCACAAGCACUUUUUGCUCGGUGUUUUGAGAGUUGGGAACAGAUUUUCAAGAUAUAUUAGCAAAAUACAUGAUGGCGUUUGAUCAGAAACACAGUGAUGCUGCAAUUUCUACACUUCAAGUUCAAGUGGAUGAUGUGAAAAAUGUCAUGAGUCAGAAUAUUGAAAAAGUUUUGGACAGAGAAGAACGGCUGAGUGAGCUGGCUGAUCGAAGCGAUGAUCUCCAAACAGCGGCUCACGGUUUCCAAAAAACGUCUACAAAGAUUUCAAGGAAGAUGUGGUGGAAAAACACUAAAAUGAUCAUAAUUAUUGUUA